UACAGAGGGUGCGAGCGUUGUCCGGAAUCACUGGGCGUAAAGGGCGCGUAGGCGGCGCGGUAAGCGUGCGGUGAAAGCCCGGGGCUCAACCCCGGGUCGGCCGUGCGGACUGCCGGGCUGGAGCACUGUAGAGGCAGGUGGAAUUCCGGGCGUAGCGGUGGAAUGCGUAGAGAUCCGGAAGAACACCGGUGGCGAAGGCGGCCUGCUGGGCAGUAGCUGACGCUGAAGCGCGACAGCGUGGGGAGCAAACAGG
rnacentral:rRNA from 1 species